CUUACGCGUUAGGAUCUUUUACUUAAAAAUAGUAAUUAAAAACUGGCGUUCGUGUGGCCGCGAGGUGAUUUGGAGGUGUGGCUGAUGCUGAAGGACUCAGGGAUGGCCCUUUCAUCCCCAGCCGGGCUGAUGCAAUGAGCCGGGCAGUAGCAGCUCCCCUCCUCCCUUCGUUAGGCAGAAAGGCGUGAAGUCUUAGAAAACAAAACGUCAUCUUUAUUCAACGUGAGCGAGUUCAGCCUUCUUCAAAGUGAGAGGUGUCGUGGUUUUUUUUUUUUUUGAAUGGCUUUGUAUCUCGGUUGGAGGUGGGAGCUUGCUUUGUCAAAGCAGAUUUUGGGGAAAGAUAUGUUAUUUUUCUGCUGACAUCUCAGUGUUCCCCGACACAGCUGAUAGCUCCAGCCAUCCCCCAGCGAGGGACACCACUGGGCUGCCACCAGUGUGAGGUUGCUAAGGGGAGGAUGUGUUCCUCCCUGUUAACUUAGGGAUGAUAGCAGAUGUAUUCGACCUCCACAUCUGAAGGGAGAGCCGCUCUGACAUGGGCAUGUGGAUCACUCGAUAAAAUCCAAAGGUGUAAUGCUGCUGAGGGCUUCGUAGAGUAUUCAGGAGUCCCCUGAGAGCCAGGAGAAGUGACCUGCGUGAGUAGUGCCUGCCUGCCCUUGCAAGGGUUUGUGCCUAGGAAAGCUGAGGUCGGGAUGCUCGUGCCGUCGAGGUUUCAGGUAGAAACCUCAUGUUAGACAGUAUGUACCCUUCUGUGAGUCCUUUAGUGCUUUUUGGACGUGAACAUUAGCAGCUCGUGCCUCUCUGCAUUCGGGUAGAAGGCUGAUAAGGAUGGCAGGCCACGUUUCUGUAAGUGAUGAAUAGGGAGUGCUGAAAACAGCUGCGUUUCCCGGGGCUGUGUUGUGAUUGGGGCGGUGCUGAGAGCCUCAGUGCUUCAGGUGAAGUGAUGGGCUUGGCUGCAAACAGGAGCAGGUUUUCAGAUGAGCUGUUGAGAUGCAGACAAUUAAUAGGCGUGUAACAUGAAAAAUUCAGCAUCUUUUAAACUGAGUACGUUGGUAUUUUUUCUGAAUAUGGAUUGAGUGCACGAUAGGAGUUCGAUAAGGUAGGGGUAAGGUAGGGCCGUUGUUGUGGGCUGUAAAUAAGCGGAGACUUGUGAGGGGUGUUUGACGAGCUUGCCAGGCUGCAGCCUUCGUGCUGCUGCUCCCUCUGCCGCCUGUUUGCACGGCCCCAGCGCUCCCCUGGGCACUGCUCUCCUGAGAGGAAGCAUAACUGCUUCUGCUGGGGCGAAGAAAGCUUAUCCAAACACCAGCAGCGGGUGGAAAACAGGGUGCAAGCAUGCACGCAUACUGAAUGAGAAGCUUCGCUGCGUGCUGCCACUUAGCGAUAGUUGGACCAGAAACUUCUUGUAGUCAAACAGGAGAACUUUGCAGGCGGAGCAUCCUUCCAGUGGGACUUCUGCUCGUGCAGAGCUGCUGCGUGGUGUAAAAACCCCC
rnacentral:lncRNA from 1 species